AUUGAACGCUGGCGGAAUGCUUUACACAUGCAAGUCGAACGGCAGCACGGGGGCAGCCCUGGUGGCGAGUGGCGAACGGGUGAGUAAUACAUCGGAACGUGCCCGGUCGUGGGGGAUAACGUAGCGAAAGUUACGCUAAUACCGCAUACGAUCUGAGGAUGAAAGCGGGGGACCUUCGGGCCUCGCGCGAUCGGAGCGGCGGAUGGCAGAGUAGGUAGUUGGUGGGGUAAAGGCUUACCAAGCCGACGAUCUGUAGCUGGUCUGAGAGGACGACCAGCCAAAUGGGGACGGAGAUACGACCCAGACGGCGAAGGGAGGCAGAAGGGGAGAAUAGGGCACAAUGGGCGGAAGAAGGAUGCAGCAACGCCGCGUGCGGGAGGAGGGACUGAGGGGUGUAAACAGAUAAAGACUGUGACGAAGCGUGAGGGAAGGUAAUGGGUAAAGAAGCACCGGAUAACUACGUG
rnacentral:rRNA from 1 species